CUGGAAGGGAGCCCCUUUCGUUUGGAAUGAGGCUUGUGAGAACAGUUUCCAAGAUUUCAAGCAGAGGUUGGUUUCAGCCCCAGUUCUAUUAAUACCAGAUGGAUUAGGUGGUUUUUUCAUUUACAGUGAUGCGUCCAAGAAGGGGUUCGGAUGCGUACUGAUGCAAAAGGGAAAAGUAGUUACUUACAAUUCACGUCAGUUAAAGACAGAAUUAUCCCACACACGACUUGGAAUUAACAGCAGUGGUUUUCGCUCUCAGGAUCUGGAGGCACUAUUUAUAUAGAGAGAAGAUACAGAUCUUCACCAACCACAAGAGUUUAAAGUACUUUUUCACUCAAAAGAAGUUGAACAUGAGGCAAAUAAGGUGGUUAGAGCUAGUGAAGAAUUAUGACUGCGAAAUUUUAUACCACCAAUGGUAAAUGCCCUAAGUAGAAAGGUGGCUUAUUUAGCAGCCCUCAUUACUAGACAGACUCAUUUGUGUAAGGAGUUAGAGUGGGCAGAAAUUGCAGUGGUAGUGAGGAAGGUCACGACACAGUUAGCGCAGUUUUCAGUGCGACCGAGUCUAAGGUAGAGAAUUAUUUAUGUGCAGUGUUGUGACCCUUAUUUGGAGGAGAGAGUUCAUAGGGUAGAGUCAAGCCAUGAUGGCAAAUUCUCUGUAUCAGCGAAGGGUGGUCUUCUAUAUCAGGGAAGUUUGUGCGUGCCAGCAGAUAAUGAUAUUAAGAAUGAGUAGUUGUCAGAGGCUCACAAUUCCUUAUUUUUGAUUCAUCCUGAUAGCACCAAGAUGUACCAAGACUUGAAACAUUAUUACUGGUGGAAUCAUAUGAAAAGAGAGAUUGUGGAGUUCGUCAGCAAGUGUUUGGUGUGCCAAUAGGUGAAAGACUCGAGGCAGAAGCCAGCAGGCUUGUUACAGCCAUUGAGGGUGCCAGAAUGGAAGUGGUAGCAUGCGUCUAUGGACUUCAUCGUGGGGUUGCCAUGGAUAGUCAAAGGUUUCACUGUAAUUUGGGUUGUUGGUAAACAGACUUACAAAAUUAGCACAUUUCAUACCUGGAAAGUCCACCUUAUCAGUAAAUAAGUGGACACAGAUAUACAUGAAGAAGGUGGUGAGAUUGCAUUGAGUGCCUGUGUUUAUUGUGUCAGACAGAGACCCUCGUUUCACAUCUAACUUCAUGAAAAGUCUUCAGGCAGCUUUGGGGACCCGGUUGGAUUUAAGUACAGCUGUUCACCCACAGACUGAUGGGCAGACAGAGCGAUUGAAUCAGAUAUUGGAAGACAUGUUGCGUGCCUGUGCCAUAGAGUUUUCAGGAAGUUGGGAUGUUCACUUGCAUUAAAUGGAGUUUGCUUAUAAUAACAGCUACCAAUCCACUAUUAGGAUGUCGCCAUUUGAGGCCCUAUAUGGAAAGAGUUGCAAGUCUCAUGUGUGUUGGGAUGAGGUAGGAGAGAGGAAAUUGUUAGGACUUGAACUAGUGCAGACCACGAAUAAGGCAAUACAGAAGAUCAGGGCAUGUAUGCAAAGCCCAAAAUGGCAUAACCAAAUGAUUGUUUAGCCAAUGAUGGAUUUCGCGCCACGGAAUGGAUCAAAGAACUGAACAGCUCAGAGCAAACAUAAGAGCUUAUGUUGAUGUGAGACGCAAAGACCUAGAAUUUGAAACUGGUGUUAAGGUAUUCUUAAAAGUAGCACUCAUGAAAGAUAUUCUAAGGUUUGGCAGGAAAGAGAAGUUGAGUCCGUGGACCUUUCGAGGUCUUAUAACGAGUUGGCCCCGUAGCUUACCAUUUGCCAUUGCUUCCAGCACUGUCUUCAGUUCACAAUGUCUUCCAUGUUUUGAUGCUGAGAAAGUAUGUAGCAUACCCAUCCCAUGUAGUCAACUUUGAGCCCUUGCAGUUGAAUGACAACUUAAGCUACGAGGAGAAACCUGUAGAGAUUCUCGCUAGAGAGGUAAAGACAUUAAAACCGUAGGGAGAUUACAUUUGUGAAAUUGUGGCAGAAUCACCAAUUCAAGGAGACUACUUGGGAUCGAGAGAAUGACAUGAAGGCCCAGUACCCGGAUCUUUUUCAGGAAUGAACUUUCGAGGACAAAAGUUCUUUAAGGAAGGAAGAAUGUAAUACCCCGAAUUUUGUUUUAUUAUUUAUGUAAUUCAGUAAUUUUUAUUAAUUGAGGGUAUUUUUUAAAUUUUUGGACAUUUAAGUGUAAUUGCUGGAAUGUAAAUCAUUUAAGUGAAAAUUAAUAUUGAAAAUUAAUUAUGGAGUUUAGUGUUGGAAAUCAAGGGCAAGAAUUGUUUUUUUAAAAAUGGAAAGGAAAAGAAUGGGUAAAAAAAAAGGAAAAAAAUAGUAAUAAUAAUAAAGGGGAAUAGGAAGGAAAUAAAAUAAAAUAAAUAUAUUUUAUUUAUUUCCUUUUCUUUUUCUUUCAUUUUUCUUUUUCCUUUUUUUCCCCUUCCUCUCGUCUUCUUCCUCACGCCGCCGACACCCCCCUCCCUCAAAAUUUUUCCUCCCUACCGUCAAGCUCUAACCAGCCUCCAGCCGUCCGUCCGUCAAUUUUUCGCCGCGCCCUGCAAGACCAACCAAGUCAACCAUUCGCCAUUCGAUCAAGCCCAACAUCCACGAGCUGCCACCCCCGAUCCACAAGCAGUGCGUGCCGCUAGCCACCCCAGCCGUCGAUUUGUGUUCCAGUUGUGUCGCGUGUCUGCCGCCCCUCCGCCACUCCAACCGCGCCGCUUUAGCCGGCGCUUCAUGUUCUUUCCAACUGUAGACCCGCGCAACCAGAAACCCAGUUGUCGUCCAUGUUUCCCCACACCGCUACCGCUAGUCCAAUCGACGGGUUCUCAAAUCUGCUGGCACCCAUCAGUUUUUAACAGUAGGCCACUGUCAUGUGGGUUUUCGUCGGAAUCUUAGAUAUAGGUAAGAUCUACUUUAUGAAGUUUUGGGUAAAAGAUGGGAUACACAUUAUGUUUGGAAUGAAAUCUAAUUUAUCUAAAUUAUACUUUUGGCUUUCGAUUUGAGUCUGGGAAACUGUUGAAGCGGCCGUCAAGCGGGUUCGAGUUCAUUGCCAACAAGAAAUUUGGUUUAAGGUCGUUGUCCAUCAGAAUUAGAGGUUGUUUUUCUUUGUUGAUUUUAUUGGAGAUUUAGGAAGCCAAAGUCUGGAAGUGACCGUCGAUCAAGCCACACUUUAGGUAAAGGUAGAGAUGCACCGGUGAUUGACAAGCGGAGUUCUUGAUCGAGCCACUCGGACCAGUUUUAUGCUUCCGCUCAUGAGAAAUCUAACUUUCAGUUUUGAUGUUUGAAACUUACUAUUAAGAAUUUUUUUUAGACUUAUUUAUUAUCAUUUAUGAUUUAUGGGUACCCUAUUGUUUG